rnacentral:misc_RNA from 1 species
UCAUAGCCCCGAUAGAAGCAUUUGUUUGAGCUCAUUUUAUUAUUUUCCGGAGCGGCGGCUCCGCCGCCGCUCCGAAAAUAAUAAAAAUAGCGAGUGCGGAUAGCGGGAUUAAGC